UUUUUUUUUUUUUGAUUUUAUUUUGAUUUCCCAGGUGGAAAACAAUUUCAGAACAAUCGAUUUUCCCCACUGAAACAUUUACUUUUGUACAGAACCGCUUAUUUCACUGAAAAAAAGCAAAAACUCACUUGCUAUUAGCUGCUUGGGCUGGAAGUGAAUCUGACUUCUGGGUGAAAGGCUUCAUAUUCCGUUACAAAUCAUUUGCACCAUCCAGCCCCAAUGAAAAGUCUAAGUUUAACAGUAUAAUGAAUAUUACUGAACACAUCUCUUAAGGAAAGAUAAAGUGAAGGCAAUGCAUUAUUUCUGUCAUCUACUUGUAUGGGCAAUGACUGAGUGAGUGCAGUGCUUGAGAAUUAUAACUGAAUUUGAACAAAAAUAUCUAAUUGACUAAUUAUUGAUAAUGAAGGAUUUGCUCCUAGUUGCUCCUAAUUUCAAUUCAAUUUCUCAAAAACAUGCCAAGUUUUCCAGACGUGUGUCAAUCAACUAAAAGAUGCUUUGUUUAGAUUGUGUCUUUCCAGCUGUUCGUUUGCUACCAGUGGACACUUCUUUGGGCUGACGUAUAAACAUCUGGAAACUCCCAGAUGGCAAUUAACUCUCAACCUAUUGAACUGCAGUCUCUUAGAAACAUGAGGAUGUAUCAAGUGGUCUCCUGGGAAACAAGGUUCUUAAAGAGAAGGGGGAAACAAAAACAAUAACUUGAGAUAGAAAUUAAAAAAAAAAAAAAAAGCUCUAUUUUAAUUUUACCUCAAGGGAAUUCAACAACAUAAAUAGUAGUUGCACAGAAUAUAGAACGAUAAUGAUCUUGCUUAUGGCAACUUCAACCCCACAGCAAGUGUCCUGAAGAUUUUUGCCGAAGUUUAAGACGCAAAACAGUCAGUGGACAUACUUUGACCUGAACAGAAUAAUUCUGGAAACCAAGAACCAGCCCAGGUUGCAGAAGGCAAAAGCAGACACUUGGAGAAUAAAGAUCCACCUGCUGUAGACCAUCAGGUUCAAGAUCAUUUAAGGAACCUAAAGAUGCAGAAGUCCAUGGGACAUGAUCAGGUGUAUCCACAGGUCUUGAGGGAAAUGGCAGAUGAAGUGACUAAGCUACUAUCUAUUAUAUUUCAAAAGUCUUGGCAGUCCUGUGAU
rnacentral:lncRNA from 1 species